UACGAAGGGGACUAGCGUUGUUCGGAAUUACUGGGCGUAAAGCGCGCGUAGGCGGAUCGCUAAGUCAGGGGUGAAAUCCCAGGGCUCAACCCUGGAACUGCCUUUGAUACUGAAGAUCUUGAGUUCGGGAGAGGUGAGUGGAACUGCGAGUGUAGAGGUGAAAUUCGUAGAUAUGGGGGAGGAACACCGGUGGCGAAGGCGGCCACCUGGACGGUAACUGACGCUGAGACGCGAAAGCGUGGGGAGCAAACAGG
rnacentral:rRNA from 1 species